UUAUUGCAGUUCAGUUUUUUUUUCAAGUUCUUUAUGACUAGGUGGCACAGCUAAUGUGCUCUUAACAAAAAAACACAUUUACCCAGGGUAGUAUUUGUAGAAGAGCAGUGUAAAUAACCACCAUACAAUAUUAAGCUUUAUACAUUACUCUUUUUAGUUAUUACCUUCAAGUGACAAAAGCAUAGGAACCUUUGCUUUAAGGUUUAAUAUGACUCAGAAUGAGUGACUGAGCAGGAAACAGGUGAGGGAGGUUACAGAGGACAAGACAGAAAUAGACUUCCAUACUGCCAGAUAUCUUUUUGAAACCACAGCCAUCUCCCUCUGGUAAUUUUCAGCUUGAAUACAGCUUUUAGACACUUUGCCUUGGCUUUAUUUUUCCGAUCUGGAAGCUACAUCGAAGUUUUAUACCGUGUAUGAGUCAGACACAUCAGCUAGGAGGAACUUUAGCCCAUUCGACAGAACAUAUUGAACUCUUAGAUGUUGUGUGCUUUUUUCAAAUAAGAUAAACGUGCAUGACCUUUUUCACUUCAAUGUUCAAAAGCAUUAACGUCCUAGUUUUUAUGUUUUAAUCAGAAAUUGACAUCAUGUUGACAGACUUCAGCAGCCUUAUUUACCACACUCCAUGUACAAGGGUCUUUGAAAAAAGCCUGAAUGAAGAGUGGAAAAAAGGUCACGACUACAUCGUCUCUGUUGAGUCUUUGUUCACAUUUUGUCUGUGAAGUAGAAAAAUCCCAUUAAAGUACUUCUAAUGUUUGUUUGCUUUUUUUUCCAAAAUUCUGUAGAUGCUGUAAUAUUUGGGGGCUUUUAACAUAUCUUUCUAAUGUUAUAUUCAGAGUUGAAAAGUUUAAUGAGCUUUUAUUAUGCCUGAUAUUUCAUGAAGCCUUGAAGGGCUAACAGUGAAAACAGUUUUGCUGUACCUUUAGGACAGCAAAAGAAACAUCAGACACUGCUCUUUGAAUGAUGCAUUUUUUCCCUUUGACUAGAGUUUUGGGCUGAAGGCCAGAGAGUCAGAGUGCCCUACAGUCACUGUGCCAAGACAAUUACAGCCGGAAGGCUCCAGUCGGCACAUUAGUGCCUCUCAUAUGGCUCGGCAUCAUAAGUAAUAAAUUCAACAAAAACGCUAGUAAUGUUCUUUCAUAAUUUAUCACUCCUCUCAAUCUCUACUGUCUUCAGUUCCUCCAACACCACCCCUGCCUCUUCCUCCUCCAAUACUAGGGCCUACACCCAGGUUUAGCAUUACUUCACAUCAAUUAUACAUAAAGUAUCGAACAAGCUUUCUCUGAGACUGCCUAAAUAUGGAGCCCCGAGUACUCCUCCAGGACCCUGAAGGACACUGGCCAUCCCUGAGUAGCCUCCAAAAUUCCCAUCAUGUGCCUUCGUGCAUUUAACUACCUACUUCAACAUCUCCCACUAAGACUUUCCCAACUGCAGUGUCAUUAUCCCACUCCUGGAUCAUCUUCUAAUUGCCUUAAUCAUCUUUAAGUACUUGUCACUGGAAUGUUUGCAUCAUCACCGAUACAGAAAGUGGAUAUCUGCUAAUAUAUCUGCUAUUGUAGUUGGAUGGAUUUUAAGUUUUUUUCUACAUUAGGUCAUUAGGUCCAUAUAUAUUUGGACACUGACACAAGUUGUUGUUUGUUUGUUUUUUUUGUUUUUUUACCCGUUUACUGAAACAUACUCCAAUUUAAGUUAUAUGAUGGAGAUAAUGUGUAGACUCUAAGCUUUUAUUUGAAGGUAUCCACAUUUGAACUGGAUGAAGGGUUUAGGAGUUUCAGCUUAACAUGUGCCACCAUCUUUUUAACGCUAUUUGAACAGUUGAUUUAAAGGCUAGUUCAUGGGCAGGUGGGGGCAAUUGCUUCAUUAUGUCAUUAUCAAUUAAGCAGAUAAAAGGCCUGGAGUUGAUUUAAGGUGUGGUGCUUACAUGUGGAAGAUUUUGCUGUGAAAAGACGUGGUACAGUCAAAUAAGCGUUCCAUGCAGGUGAAACUAGCCAAUCUUAACCUGCAAAAACAGAAAAAAAAAACCAAUUAGAUAAAUUUCUGCAAUAGUAGGAGUGGCAAAAUCUACACUUUGGUACAUCCUGAGAAAGAAAAAAAGCACUGGUGACUUGAACAACACAAAAAGACCUGGAUGUCCAUGUAAGACAGCAGUGGUGGAUGAUCGCAGAAUCAUUUCCAUGGUGAAGACAAACCCCUUAAAAACAGCCAACCAAAUGAGCAACGCUCUCCAGGAGUUAGGCAUAGCAAUAUCCAAGUCUACCAUGAAGAGAAGACUCCAUGAAAGUAAAUAUAGAGGGCUCACUGCAAGAUGCAAACCACUGAUAAAACUCAAGAAUAGAGAGGCUCGAUUGUACUUUGUUAAAAAAAAAACAUCUAAAAAUCUCGGUAUAGUUCUAGGAAAAAUAUUCUUUGGACAGAUGAAACCAAGAUCACCUCUACAAGAAUGAUGGCAAGGUGUGGAACAGAUCAUGAUCCAAAGCAUACUACAUCAUCUGUAAAACACGGCGGAUUCAGUGUGAUUGCCUGGGCGUGCAUGGCUCCCAGUGGUACUGGGACACUAGUGUUUAUUGAUGAUGUGACACAGGACAGAAGCAACCUAAUGAAUUCUGAGGUGUUCAGAGACGUACUGUCCUCUCAAAUCCAGUUAAAUGCAGUCAAAAGAAGGUUAAAUCUAAAGUGAAUACAGGUAUUGUGGUAUGAGGUGGUAAAGAUUUUCUAGGUCCAAGAGUGUGUUGAUUCAAACAGCAGCAACAAAGACAAGUACUAUGGAUGUUUUAACAACUAGUUUAAUAUUAAUUGAGAGUAAAUUGUCUGGAAUUGCACCUCUUUUCAGUCACAACUGGUGCAAUCCCUACACAUCUGGAUGACAAGCAGGACUGGUCCUUGAACUGGUCUUCCUUAGAUGUAACCCAAGAGGUUUUGUUGGAAUUAAUCGAUCUCUAUGUCGCCUCAUUUCUUUUCUGUCUUUGUGUUUGCAGUUUAAGAUAUUAAUGUUAUUUUCACAUUUUUCUGCCUCAACGUUUUGAGUUUAAGUUGAAUUUAUAAAAGACACUUUGUUUGAUCUGGAAAACUUGUGUAGUUGGCUCUGAUGAGAAUACAGUACAACAGGCUUUUUAAAUACUAAUUUAUUCAGUGUUUUCACAACAGAGUUGAUUAUAAUCUCAUGGGGGAACCAGACAGGCAAAUAUCUAUUAAAGUAUGUUUUAAACCACAUCAGGAGGCUAUCUCAGAAUCCAUUUUGGUACCGUGUAUGUGCUAAACAUCCCACAUUUAGCAUCAGCAAUACAUUAGUGGUCGCUUAUUAAUCAGAAGAUGCCGUGGCCUAUUUGAUGAAUUAUUUAUAUCAUCAGCACUCAACAAAAGCUCCUUUGAUUUCACCCUACGAAAAAUAUUCACUCAUUGGCACUUGUUGUGUGUGUUUGUGUACAUGUGUGUAUGCUUAUAGUCCAGUUAAGUGAUGUGAUCUAAAACCAAACCACUGACCUUUCAGGCCGGUGCUCUCUGAUGUCGAUUUUUGGGAUCAGUCCAGGUUGGACCUAUUUUGGGAUGAAAUCGAUGCCAGAGGUAGCCUUGGCUUUAGAGAUGUAUGAGCCCUAUUUCGGGGCUUUCUGAUACCAGUAUCUGGUGUUUUACUGGCGGUUUGUGUUGGAUAUUUUAAGUGGCAAGUGGCGUCAGUGUACGGUAAGAAAAGAUAAGGAGGAAGUGAGUAUUCACUUUGUUCAUCUCUGGUUUCUUUGCUCAUUUUCAUGUUUCUUAGAAGCUCUUUAGAUCAAUUUAAUAAAUUACUCAGAAUUUAUGAUUCAUAUCAUCAAUUUCCCAAAGCUGGUACAUUUAGUAAAUGCUUUCAGUUAAACAGGACCUACUGUGCUUCUUCUUGUUUUAUCUAAUAUGGCCAAAGUUUCAAAUGAGUUCAGCGUAUGUGCAAUUAAUUCCUCUGAAAGGAAAGCUCAGGAUUUAGACUUUAGCUUAGACACUUUUUUCUACUCUUGGAACUCUAUAAUAUCAGCCUGCCUUCUGUUUGCAAGGGGCAGCCAAUCAGAAGGCAAUCAACUAAAAGUGAGAGGAGCUUUAAUGCUGUUUGUUUCAGAUCACUGAUGAGCUGAGGGGCUACACUAAGGCACGGUAAAAGAUAAAAAGAUUUCUUUGAACUGUGAAUCAAUAAAAUCGAAAUAGCAGGUCCUCUUUAAAGCGGGCAGUAGUGGUGUAAUAGGGCAGCCCUUAGCGGCUGGAAACACAGUGAGACGGACUAAGGCAAGUGCAGUGGAACAAAGCAUUUAUUUGCCAUACAGCUCUCCUUACAACAAUUCACUUCGAGCUUCUUCACAGCACAAAAUAUCCUCCUCUAAUGACAACCAGCAGCCUUAAAUAUGUUCAGCUGUCACAGACUAAACCAUUAUUCCACUCUUAGGUAAAUUCUUAAAUCCCAACCUUCCACCACAGUAUACAAUAUAUCAACUAUAAUAAAUAAAUACAUAAAUACAUUUCACAUUUUUAUAUUAAUAAAUAUUUCACACUUUAAUGUUACACCAAACCCAAUAUUAUAAAAACCCAGAAACCCAAGCACAAAAAGAUUCACCACACUCUCUUUACCAAUGGUCUCUCCCGGAACCUUUAAAUGGUGUCUGGACCCCCGGGGAAACAUUUGCCCAAACACCCUGAAGAGGACACAGGCAAGAAAGACAACCACCACAUUCCUUGAUGAGGAGCAGCUGUGCAGGAUCUGAAUCAAGGCUACCAACUGAUUUUAAAAUUCCCAAUAAAUAAUCAAUAAAUAUU